AUUGAACGCUGGCGGCAGGCCUAACACAUGCAAGUCGAGCGGAUGAAGGGAGCUUGCUCCUGGAUUCAGCGGCGGACGGGUGAGUAAUGCCUAGGAAUCUGCCUGGUAGUGGGGGAUAACGUCCGGAAACGGGCGCUAAUACCGCAUACGUCCUGAGGGAGAAAGUGGGGGAUCUUCGGACCUCACGCUAUCAGAUGAGCCUAGGUCGGAUUAGCUAGUUGGUGGGGUAAAGGCCUACCAAGGCGACGAUCCGUAACUGGUCUGAGAGGAUGAUCAGUCACACUGGAACUGAGACACGGUCCAGACUCCUACGGGAGGCAGCAGUGGGGAAUAUUGGACAAUGGGCGAAAGCCUGAUCCAGCCAUGCCGCGUGUGUGAAGAAGGUCUUCGGAUUGUAAAGCACUGUUAGUUGGGAGGAAGGGCAGUAAGUUAAUACCUGGCUGUUUUGACGGUACCAACAGAAUAAGCACCGGCUAACUUCGUG
rnacentral:rRNA from 1 species